GGGCGUAAGGGCUCGCAGGCGGUUUCUUAAGUCUGAUGUGAAAGCCCCCGGCUCAACCGGGGAGGGUCAUUGGAAACUGGGGAACUUGAGUGCAGAAGAGGAGAGUGGAAUUCCACGUGUAGCGGUGAAAUGCGUAGAGAUGUGGAGGAACACCAGUGGCGAAGGCGACUCUCUGGUCUGUAACUGACGCUGAGGAGCGAAAGCGUGGGGAGCGAACAGGAUUAGAUACCCUGGUAGUCCACGCCGUAAACGAUGAGUGCUAAGUGUUAGGGGGUUUCCGCCCCUUAGUGCUGCAGCUAACGCAUUAAGCACUCCGCCUGGGGAGUACGGUCGCAAGACUGAAACUCAAAGGAAUUGACGGGGGCCCGCACAAGCGGUGGAGCAUGUGGUUUAAUUCGAAGCAACGCGAAGAACCUUACCAGGUCUUGACAUCCUCUGACAAUCCUAGAGAUAGGACGUCCCCUUCGGGGGCAGAGUGACAGGUGGUGCAUGGUUGUCGUCAGCUCGUGUCGUGAGAUGUUGGGUUAAGUCCCGCAACGAGCGCAACCCUUGAUCUUAGUUGCCAGCAUUCAGUUGGGCACUCUAAGGUGACUGCCGGUGACAAACCGGAGGAAGGUGGGGAUGACGUCAAAUCAUCAUGCCCCUUAUGACCUGGGCUACACACGUGCUACAAUGGACAGAACAAAGGGCAGCGAAACCGCGAGGUUAAGCCAAUCCCACAAAUCUGUUCUCAGUUCGGAUCGCAGUCUGCAACUCGACUGCGUGAAGCUGGAAUCGCUAGUAAUCGCGGAUCAGCAUGCCGCGGU
rnacentral:rRNA from 1 species